UGACCUCAAAUCAGGUAGGACUACCCGCUGAACUUAAGCAUAUCAAUAAGCGGAGGAAAAGAAACUAACAAGGAUUCCCCUAGUAACUGCGAGUGAAGCGGGAAAAGCUCAAAUUUAAAAUCUGUCAGUCUUUGGCUGUCCGAGUUGUAAUCUAGAGAAGUGUUAUCCGCGCUGGACCGUGUACAAGUCUCCUGGAAUGGAGCGUCAUAGAGGGUGAGAAUCCCGUCUUUGACACGGACUGCCAGGGCUUUGUGAUGCGCUCUCAAAGAGUGCGAGUUGUUUGGGAAUGCAGCUCAAAAUNGGGUGGUAAAUUCCAUCUAAAGCUAAAUAUUGGCGAGAGACCGAUAGCGAACAAGUACCGUGAGGGAAAGAUGAAAAGAACUUUGGAAAGAGAGUUAAACAGUACGUGAAAUUGCUGAAAGGGAAACGCUUGAAGUCAGUCGCGUUGUCCAGGGAUCAACC
rnacentral:rRNA from 1 species